ACCCUUGAUUAUCUUAAUUUGUUGCUUUGGUGGGCCGCGCAAGCACCGGCUUUGGCUGGAUCGUGCCCGCCAGAGGACCACAACUCUGUAUUAAAUGUCGUCUGAGUACUAUAAAAUAGUUAAAACUUUCCACCACCGAUCUCUUGGUUCUGGCCUCGAUGAAGAACGCCGCGAAAUGCGAUAAGUAAUGUGAAUUGCAGAAUUCAGUGAAUCAUCGAAUCUUUGAACGCACUUGCGCCCUCCGGUAUUCCCGAGGGCAUGCCUGUUCCAGCGUCCUAAUGACCAAAUCACUUCUAUUAGUGGACUUGGAGUUGGCCUGUACUGGCCUCUCUUAAAAGCAGUGGCGGUGCUCUUAAGCUCUACGCGUAGUAAUCUUUCUCGCUAUAGGGUCUUACUAGUAUUUGCCAACCAACCCCCAAUUAUAUAGGUUGACUUCGGAUCANGUAGGGAUACCCGCUGAACUUAAGCAUAUCAAUAAGCGGAGGAAAAGAAACUCAACAGGGAUUACCCUCGUAACGGCGAGUGAAGCGGUAACAGCUCAAAUUUGAAAUCUGGCUCUUUCAGGGUCCGAGUUGUAAU
rnacentral:rRNA from 1 species